GAUUGAACGCUGGCGGCAGGCUUAACACAUGCAAGUCGAGCGGGGGAAGUUGCUUCGGUAACUGACCUAGCGGCGGACGGGUGAGUAAUGCUUAGGAAUCUGCCUAUUAGUGGGGGACAACAUUUCGAAAGGGAUGCUAAUACCGCAUACGCCCUAAGGGGGAAAGCAGGGGAUCUUCGGACCUUGCGCUAAUAGAUGAGCCUAAGUCGGAUUAGCUAGUUGGUGGGGUAAAGGCCUACCAAGGCGACGAUCUGUAGCGGGUCUGAGAGGAUGAUCCGCCACACUGGGACUGAGACACGGCCCAGACUCCUACGGGAGGCAGCAGUGGGGAAUAUUGGACAAUGGGGGGAACCCUGAUCCAGCCAUGCCGCGUGUGUGAAGAAGGCCUUUUGGUUGUAAAGCACUUUAAGCGAGGAGGAGGCUACUGGUAUUAAUACUACUGGAUAGUGGACGUUACUCGCAGAAUAAGCACCGGCUAACUCUGUGCCAGCAGCCGCGGUAAUACAGAGGGUGCGAGCGUUAAUCGGAUUUACUGGGCGUAAAGCGUGCGUAGGCGGCUGAUUAAGUCGGAUGUGAAAUCCCUGAGCUUAACUUAGGAAUUGCAUUCGAUACUGGUCAGCUAGAGUAUGGGAGAGGAUGGUAGAAUUCCAGGUGUAGCGGUGAAAUGCGUAGAGAUCUGGAGGAAUACCGAUGGCGAAGGCAGCCAUCUGGCCUAAUACUGACGCUGAGGUACGAAAGCAUGGGGAGCAAACAGGAUUAGAUACCCUGGUAGUCCAUGCCGUAAACGAUGUCUACUAGCCGUUGGGGCCUUUGAGGCUUUAGUGGCGCAGCUAACG
rnacentral:rRNA from 1 species